UACGGAGGGUGCGAGCGUUGUCCGGAAUCACUGGGCGUAAAGGGCGCGUAGGCGGCCUGGUAAGUAGGGGGUGAAAUCCUGCGGCUUAACCGCAGGGCUGCCUUCUAAACUGUCAGGCUUGAGCACAGUAGAGGCAGAUGGAAUUCCCGGUGUAGCGGUGGAAUGCGUAGAGAUCGGGAAGAACAUCAGUGGCGAAGGCGGCCUGCUGGGCUGUUGCUGACGCUGAGGCGCGACAGCGUGGGGAGCAAACAGG
rnacentral:rRNA from 1 species